rnacentral:rRNA from 1 species
GACAGAGGGUGCAAACGUUGUUCGGAAUUACUGGGCGUAAAGCGUGUGUAGGCGGUCCGCUAAGUCGGGUGUGAAAGCCCUGGGCUCAACCCAGGAAGUGCACUCGAAACUGGCGGGCUAGAGUAUCGGAGAGGUUGGUGGAAUUCUCGGUGUAGAGGUGAAAUUCGUAGAUAUCGAGAGGAACACCGGUGGCGAAGGCGGCCAACUGGACCAUUACUGACGCUGAGGCGCGAAAGCGUGGGGAGCAAACAGG